rnacentral:rRNA from 1 species
UACAGGGGGGGCAAGCGUUGUUCGGAGUUACUGGGCGUAAAGGGCUCGUAGGUGGCCAACUAAGUCAGACGUGAAAUCCCUCAGCUUAACUGGGGAACUGCGUCUGAUACUGGAUGGCUUGAGUUUGGGAGAGGGAUGUGGAAUUCCAGGUGUAGCGGUGAAAUGCGUAGAUAUCUGGAGGAACACCGGUGGCGAAGGCGGCAUCCUGGACCAUUACUGACACUGAAAAGCGAAAGCCAGGGGAGCAAACGGG